AGUGUCAUGGCCAUGGUCCCGAUGGUAGAAACAAAAUCUCUCCUACGUACGAUUCUCCGAUCGAGACCUCAUUCUUUUUGCUCAGGGGAGUUGCUCCUUAAUCUCCAUAAGCAUUUGAGUUUUGGAGGCAUUUAGAGGAGUAUAAUUAGUGAAGUGAACCUCCUUGUGGGCGACUGAUGCCUUGGUGAUUGGUGGCACUGUCCUUAGGGGCUUUUAGGUCAUCGACCCUAAGGAGGAGUUCUAGAUCUUCAAUGUCGGGGUAAAGUCUGAGACUGCCACCAAUCCCC
rnacentral:lncRNA from 1 species